rnacentral:rRNA from 1 species
GGUGCUUUGUGUAAACGGCCGCGGUACUCUGACCGUGCAAAGGUAGCAUAAUCAUUUGCCCUUUUAUUGGGGGCUGGAAUGAAUGGAAUGACGUGGCUUUUGCUGUCUCUUUCUUUUGAUUGAAAAUUGCUGUUUUUGUGAAGAAGCAAAAAUGUUAGAAAAAGACAAGAAGACCCUAUUAAGCUUUACUCUAAAAUUUUUGGUAAAAUGUUUUUAUUUUAUUAUAUAAUUAUCAUGUUUCAGGGUUUGGUUGGGGUGACCGAAGAAGACAAGGAUCUUCUUUUUUUUUUAAAAACUUUAUGUUUUUUAUUGGGCCAGUAGUUUCUGAGAAUAAGAAUAAGUUACUAUAGGGAUAACAGCGUAAUUUUUUCAAAGAGUUCAUAUUGAAGAAAAAGAUUGCGACCUCGAUGUUGACUUGUUGUAUCCUAUUUUAAAGUACCACUAAUUGGUGCAAAGGUGUAGCAGCUAAAAGGGUUGGUCUGUUCGACCAUUAAAACAGC